UGAGUAACCUGCCCUUAACUCUGGGAUAAGCCUGGGAAACUGGGUCUAAUACCGGAUACGACUCCUCAUCGCAUGGUGGGGGGUGGAAAGCUUUAUUGUGGUUUUGGAUGGACUCGCGGCCUAUCAGCUUGUUGGUGAGGUAAUGGCUCACCAAGGCGACGACGGAUAGCCGGCCUGAGAGGGUGACCGGCCACACUGGGACUGAGACACGGCCCAGACUCCGUACGGGAGCAG
rnacentral:rRNA from 1 species